UUCAUCAUCAUAAUUUGUAAUAUUAUUUUAUUAUAAUAUUAUCAAAUGAUGGUGUGCAUUUUUUUCAUAUAAGGACAUUGUAAUCUAUUAACAAGAAUACACAUAUAUUUAUCAAAAGAUCAUUGAGCUAUAUAAGUUUAUUUAAAUUAUUUUGCUUUUUUAAAGCAAAUUAACAUAGAAUUAAAUGCUUAUGAUUUGAUAAAGUGUUGAUAGAUUUAUUAUAUAUAAUGCUAAAAUACAUAUGAGAUUUUACAAUAAUGUCUAUCACUUAUAUU
rnacentral:rRNA from 1 species